rnacentral:tRNA from 1 species
GCAAUAAUAGCUUAAAAAAAGCAUCGGUCUUGUAAGCCGAAAAUGGAUUUGUCAUAUCCUUAUUGCUC